AUGAACGCUGGCGGCGUGCUUAACACAUGCAAGUCGAACGAAGCACUUUAUUUGAUUUCCUUCGGGACUGAUUAUUUUGUGACUGAGUGGCGGACGGGUGAGUAACGCGUGGGUAACCUGCCUUGUACAGGGGGAUAACAGUUGGAAACGGCUGCUAAUACCGCAUAAGCGCACAGCAUCGCAUGAUGCAGUGUGAAAAACUCCGGUGGUAUAAGAUGGACCCGCGUUGGAUUAGCUAGUUGGUGAGGUAACGGCCCACCAAGGCGACGAUCCAUAGCCGACCUGAGAGGGUGACCGGCCACAUUGGGACUGAGACACGGCCCAAACUCCUACGGGAGGCAGCAGUGGGGAAUAUUGCACAAUGGGCGAAAGCCUGAUGCAGCGACGCCGCGUGAGCGAAGAAGUAUUUCGGUAUGUAAAGCUCUAUCAGCAGGGAAGAUAAUGACGGUACCUGACUAAGAAGCACCGGCUAAAUACGU
rnacentral:rRNA from 1 species